rnacentral:rRNA from 1 species
CCUACGGGAGGCUGCAGUGAGGAAUAUUGGUCAAUGGCCGCAGGGCUGAACCAGCCAAGUCGCGUGAGGGAUGACGGUCCUAUGGAUUGUAAACCUCUUUUGUCAGGGAGCAAAGGGCGCCACGUGUGGCGCUUUGCGAGUACCUGAAGAAAAAGCAUCGGCUAACUCCGUGCCAGCAGCCGCGGUAAUACGGAGGAUGCGAGCGUUAUCCGGAUUUAUUGGGUUUAAGGGGUGCGCAGGCGGAAUGUCAAGUCAGCGGUAAAAUUUCGGGGCUCAACCCCGUCGUGCCGUUGAAACUGGCGUUCUUGAGUGAGCGAGAAGUAUGCGGAAUGCGUGGUGUAGCGGUGAAAUGCAUAGAUAUCACGCAGAACCCCGAUUGCGAAGGCAGCAUACCGGUGCACAACUGACGCUCAGGCACGAAAGCGUGGGUAUCGAACAGGAUUAGAUACCCUUGUAGUC